UCUCUCUGUCUCUCUGGCAAGCGCAUGCGCCCUAUAGCAAAAAUCUCUAAAAAAAAAAAUUCAAUAAAAUGUUUGGCUCUUGAGCAGGAACUUGGUCUUCUAUUUUCUCCUCUAGAAAAGAGUACUGGGUCUAGGAACGCCAUGCUUCAGCAAUCCAAGUUCAAAGUCAAGGGAUUCCAUCCAGACUGUACUUGCUCCCAUUCCUUUCCCAUUCUCUUUGCUUACAAAUAUCUUGUCUUCCUUCCCACAGGAGGCAGUGAGGGGUGAGUAGGAAGUCUGAAUAAGUCCUCGGUGGAAUGAACAGUGUGCCUGUGAUCAUCCACUGGACUUCAUCCUGGCUGGAUCUGGGGAGUCGUAGAUGGCAGUGGGAGGGGUAGAGGAGAGUCUCCAACCUGCCCAGAGUCUUGGGGCUCAUGUCGUCCUGGCCAGGCCAGCACUCUGAGCUGUUCUCUCCAGCAGCUCUCAGGUCCCCCUGGGCUGGAAUGUCUCUGUUCUCAGCACCAGGAUUUGGAGCAGUUCCUUCUCAAGGGCCUCCCUUGCCACUCUCGGGGGUUGGAAGACUGUCCCUUCUAAAGUUGGAAUAGGGUUGUGAGACUGGAUGGGGCAGGGUCUCCUGCUCAUUCUUCUCCCAGUUACUCCACAGACCAUUAGAUCUGGUUGUCCCCAAACUCAGAGAUGACAGAAAAGAACUGACCCCAGGAGUUGGGGUGAGGACAGUUAGAAAUCCUGGCAGAUAAAGAGAAGGGUCAGCCAACAGAACACAGAAAGCCAGAGCUGAACACUAAUCCCGGCAGCAGUAGAGGCUUGUCCUUGCUGUCCCCCUGGGUCAGAACGAAUGAGCCACACACUGCAGGUUCUGGGGGCAGGCAGCAUGGUGCCAUCGCAGACCAGUUCGACUUGGGACAUUUUUCACUUGCGUUUUAAUUCUGGGGCUGUCCUGAGAACUGUCUUCUUGGGCAAAUGAUUUCUCAGUGCCAGUUUUUCCCUUGAGUGCUGUUAGCUCAGACUUUGGUCUGACCCUAAUGCCCGCAUGAUCUCGGACACAUUAUUUAACCUCAGAGUUCAUCGCCUCAUCUGUACAAUGGGCAAUAAAACCUUGAGCCGUCUUGAGGGUUAAACGAGAUAAUCGAUGGGAAGUAGGUCCCAUCAGUAACUUAGGGUCACAGAUAACAGCAAGUGUGAGAGCAGGCGACAUGGCUUUGAGCUGACUGCCCCAGCCAGAUGUGUAAGCUCUCUGAGAACCAGUUCCUCCCCUGGAGGAAGGGAAAGGGUAGCAACCCUUCCUUCACAGGGUUCUCAUGGGGCUCCGCUGAGAUAAGGUGUAGGAAAGUACUUUGUGGAGUUCUGAACAAACGUGAAGGAGUAUUUUUGUUCUUCAGUUUGCCCUCUAACAAAGGCUGAAUAAGUACUGGAUUGGCCAAAAAAGGGAGGGCAAAGGAAGGAAUGUGAAUCUUAGGGGGAGUAGCAAAAAGCUUGAAUAAUCCCUACACUGUUUCUAAUACUUUCUGUUAGCUCCAAGAAACAGACACAGGAGGGAGGUGAGGAAUCGGGCCACAAGAGAGACAGUGGGACUGUGAGGAGAGGGAAAGGGAGCCCACCGCUGCCAACCCCCAGGCAGGCAUGGAGGGUCUAUGCCUGGUCAGGGAAAAAAGGGAGUCUCUCCAGUCCCGGCUUCCUCUGUGUCUACCUCCACGACCCUGCUCCCUUGAGACCCACGAAGCACAGCUCCUAGCCUCAUGCCAGGAAGUGCUGCCUCCCAACGCCUCCCACCUGGCAGUUACUGAGCAGAGUCAAAUAUACUCAGGGUUGGAGUCCAGAGAAAAAAGACAGGAGAGAGCUCCGCUCUCCCCAAUGGAGAAUAGCCUCCCCCUCCCGUGGCCCACCAGCCAGGGCAGAGCCGCUAAAGCCAGUCCCCUCUCCUCCUCCUCUUCCAUGUCCUUUGCUUGCCCUUGGUCAGCCUAACCAGGACAUGAUGCCAAGGCCAGGGCCCUGCUGGUCCUGGGGAGAGACGCUUGGCUGGUGGGAUGUGCCAAGGGAAUGUUUUGCAGAUUAGUGCCUCCUGGGGUGGAACAGCAGCAGCAGGUGGCAGGAACAGGGCAGCAGGGGAGCAAAGCCAGGAGUCCCUGGGAGAGGCCUGAGGACAGAAGCCUUCUUCUCCAGUCUCAGGCCCCCAGACUAGGAGUUCUGGGGACCCUUCAAAGCCUCCUGCCUCAGUUUCAGUCCUCAGUGACUUUGGUGCUACACAGAUUACUUUAUUUGACCAAUUGCGGUGACAAUUAUGUUGUGUCAUAAUUACCACCAAGUCCUGCUUUAGACCAAGCCCUUCUCCAGAACAAAUUAGAGAGCAGAUGCCAGAGCAGGAGAGGAGAGGUGAAGUGACAGCCAUGAAUCUGAGACAGGAGAGGACAGAGGAGGAGAGGAAGUUCUAACAAUAAGAAAUAAAGAAGCCCUCGAGGAAGCAUCCCAACUACAAUGUCCUAAAUUUGGCCCUUCUAACAGGACACAGUCCCUCGCUAUACUUAUCUUUAAGCCAGUCUGCCACUCCCUCAACUCACUAGGGGCAAGAAAGGGCAGGAAAGGCCACUGCGCUGGACACCUCUUCUCUGCUUCGCCGAGGAACUUCACUGUCAGAUAUGGCCACCAGCCUGCCUCCUUACUACAUGACAAACACCGAACCAAA